GACGAACGCUGGCGGCGCGCCUAACACAUGCAAGUCGAACGAGCGAGAGAGAGCUUGCUUUCUCGAGCGAGUGGCGAACGGGUGAGUAACGCGUGAGGAACCUGCCUCAAAGAGGGGGACAACAGUUGGAAACGACUGCUAAUACCGCAUAAGCCCACGGGUCGACAUCGACCAGAGGGAAAAGGAGCAAUCCGCUUUGAGAUGGCCUCGCGUCCGAUUAGCUAGUUGGUGAGGUAAUGGCCCACCAAGGCGACGAUCGGUAGCCGGACUGAGAGGUUGAACGGCCACAUUGGGACUGAGACACGGCCCAGACUCCUACGGGAGGCAGCAGUGGGGAAUAUUGCACAAUGGGGGAAACCCUGAUGCAGCGACGCCGCGUGGAGGAAGAAGGUCUUCGGAUUGUAAACUCCUGUUGUUGAGGAAGAUAAUGACGGUACUCAACAAGGAAGUGACGGCUAACUACGUGCCAGCAGCCGCGGUAAAACGUAGGUCACAAGCGUUGUCCGGAAUUACUGGGUGUAAAGGGAGCGCAGGCGGGAAGACAAGUUGGAAGUGAAAUCCAUGGGCUCAACCCAUGAACUGCUUUCAAAACUGUUUUUCUUGAGUAGUGCAGAGGUAGGCGGAAUUCCCGGUGUAGCGGUGGAAUGCGUAGAUAUCGGGAGGAACACCAGUGGCGAAGGCGGCCUACUGGGCACCAACUGACGCUGAGGCUCGAAAGUGUGGGUAGCAAACAGGAUUAGAUACCCUGGUAGUCCACACCGUAAACGAUGAUUACUAGGUGUUGGAGGAUUGACCCCUUCAGUGCCGCAGUUAACACAAUAAGUAAUCCACCUGGGGAGUACGACCGCAAGGUUGAAACUCAAAGGAAUUGACGGGGGCCCGCACAAGCAGUGGAGUAUGUGGUUUAAUUCGACGCAACGCGAAGAACCUUACCAAGUCUUGACAUCCCUUGACGAUGCUGGAAACAGUAUUUCUCUUCGGAGCAAGGAGACAGGUGGUGCAUGGUUGUCGUCAGCUCGUGUCGUGAGAUGUUGGGUUAAGUCCCGCAACGAGCGCAACCCUUAUGGUCAGUUACUACGCAAGAGGACUCUGGCCAGACUGCCGUUGACAAAACGGAGGAAGGUGGGGAUGACGUCAAAUCAUCAUGCCCUUUAUGACUUGGGCUACACACGUACUACAAUGGCGUUAAACAAAGAGAAGCAAGACCGCGAGGUGGAGCAAAACUCAGAAACAACGUCCCAGUUCGGACUGCAGGCUGCAACUCGCCUGCACGAAGUCGGAAUUGCUAGUAAUCGUGGAUCAGCAUGCCACGGUGAAUACGUUCCCGGGCCU
rnacentral:rRNA from 1 species